rnacentral:misc_RNA from 1 species
GGAAGUAAAAGUGUAACAAGGUUCCCGUAGGUGAACCUGCGGAAGGAUCAUUAUUGUAUAACCGAGGUGCGAGGGCUGUCGCUGACCCGAAAGGUCGUGCACGCCCGAGUGCCCUCACACACAUCCAUCUCACCCCUAUGUGCACCACCGCGUGGGUCCCCCUUUGGCUUGUUCGGAGGGGGGCUUACGUUUUCACACAAACUUUGUAUGCAGUGUAGAAUGUAUUUUUUGUUUUUGCGAUCACGCAAUCAAUACAACUUUCAACAACGGAUCUCUUGGCUCUC